GUGGUUAAGUCCGCAACGAGCGCAACCCUCGGACCUUAGUUGCCAGCAUUCAGUUGGGCACUCUAAGGUGGACUGCCGGCUAAAAGUCGGAGGAAGGUGGGGAUGACGUCAAAUCAUCAUGCCCCUUAUGACCUGGGCUACACACGUGCUACAAUGGGCGGUACAAAGGGUCGCGAACCCGCGAGGGGGAGCCAAUCCCAAAAAGCCGCUCUCAGUUCGGAUUGCAGGCUGCAACUCGCCUGCAUGAAGCCGGAAUCGCUAGUAAUCGCGGAUCAGCAUGCCGCGGUGAAUACGUUCCCGGGCCUU
rnacentral:rRNA from 1 species